CGCGCUGCACUCCGAGCGCACAGGCGCUCCGGUGGCGGCCCGGGCUCCCGCGCUGCUCCGGGUCCGCUCGGGCUGCCCGCGUCGCGCUGCUGCUCGCAUUCGGCUGGGACUCCGCCGGCCCCUCGGCGCCGCGCUCCCCGACCCCGGCCUCUGCGCCCGCGGACCAUGCGCCGGGCACCCCUGGGGGAGCCCAGGCGGGCCGAGAGCCCGCAAAGACCAGGUUCCCGCGCCGGGGCCCCUCCCGGCCGCCCGGCCUGCGGUCCGCGCCCUGGUGCCGCGUGAGCCUGGGGGGCCAUGGAGCGCUCACCGCCCGACGGGCCGCUGAACGCGUCGGGGGCGCUGGCGGGCGAGGCGGCGGCAGGAGGGGCGCGCGGCUUCUCUGCCGCCUGGACCGCGGUGCUGGCAGCGCUCAUGGCGCUGCUUAUCGUGGCCACGGUGCUGGGCAACGCGCUGGUCAUGCUCGCCUUCGUGGCCGACUCGAGCCUCCGCACCCAGAACAACUUCUUUCUGCUCAAUCUGGCCAUCUCCGACUUCCUCGUCGGGGCCUUCUGCAUUCCCCUCUACGUGCCCUAUGUGCUGACAGGCCGCUGGCCCUUUGGCCGGGGCCUCUGCAAACUGUGGCUGGUGGCGGAUUACCUGCUCUGUACCUCCUCUGUCUUCAACAUUGUGCUUAUCAGCUAUGAUCGCUUCCUGUCUGUCACCCGUGCUGUCUCCUACCGGGCCCAGCAGGGCGACACUCGGCGGGCAGUGCAGAAGAUGGUGCUGGUAUGGGUGCUGGCCUUUCUGCUCUAUGGGCCGGCCAUCUUGAGCUGGGAGCACCUGUCGGGCGGCAGCUCCAUCCCCGAGGGCCACUGCUAUGCCGAGUUCUUCUACAACUGGUACUUCCUCAUCACGGCCUCCACAUUGGAGUUUUUCACGCCCUUCCUCAGUGUCACCUUCUUCAACCUCAGCAUCUACCUGAACAUCCAGAGGCGCACCCAGGUCCGGCUGGACGGGGCGCGAGAAGCAGCCGGCCCCGAGCCUCCCCCUGAGGCCCAGGCCUCCCCGCCGGCAGUGCCUGGCUGCUGGGGCUGCUGGCAGAAGGGGCGUGGGGAGGCCGUGCCGCUGCACAGGUAUGGGGUUGGGGUCGGCGAGGUGGUCCCUGGCACAGAAGCCGGGGAGGCAGCCCUUGGGGGUGGCAGCGGUGGGGGCGCCACAGCCUCACCCACCUCCAGCUCAGGCAGCUCCUCUCGGGGCGCUGAGCGGCCGCGCCCGCUCAAGAGGGGCUCCAAGCCGUCGGUGUCGUCAGCGUCACUGGAGCAGCGCAUGAGGAUGGUGUCCCAGAGCGUCACCCAGCGCUUCCGGCUGUCGCGGGACAAGAAGGUGGCCAAGUCGCUGGCCGUCAUCGUGAGCACCUUUGGGCUCUGCUGGGCGCCCUACACGCUCCUGAUGAUCGUCCGGGCCGCCUGCCACGGCCGCUGUGUCCCCGACUACUGGUACGAGACGUCCUUCUGGCUGCUGUGGGCUAACUCAGCCGUCAACCCUGUCCUCUACCCGCUGUGCCACUACAGCUUCCGCCGAGCCUUCACCAAGCUGCUCUGCCCCCAGAAGCUGAAGACACAGCCCCACAGCUCCCUGGAGCACUGCUGGAAGUGAGCUGGCACCAGGGGUGCCGGGGUAGGGCCUCCCCACUGCGCCCCACUCAAGGCCCUGGUUUCCUGGGCAUCUGGGCCACGCUAUCCCACACCUGGCUGCCCCCCAUGGGAAGACAAAGAAGAAAGCACGUCCGUGAACCCUGUGUUCCUUGGAUGUUUAAUCAAGAGACAAAAUUGCUGAGGAGCUCAGGGCUGGAUUGGCAGGUGUGGGCUCCCACGCCCUCCCUCUCGGUUGCCGCUUCCGGCUGAGCGGCGCCAGCUGCCUCUGCCCACCCCGCCCCCGGGCUCGGGGUGCUGGGCCCCAGCCGGCGGACGGGCAGCUCUGACUCCGGCCGGCCGGGCAGGACGCCUGCUUCCCAGAGGCUGCCCCUCCAGCUCUGCGGCCCCACUGGGGGUCCUGGGGUUGGUGGGGAGGAGGGGCCCCGGCCGAGCCGGCCGAGCCCUGAGGUCCCCAGGCUGGUGCGGGUGCCCCGUGGAGGGGCUGCUUUGCCGCUCCCUGUGCCCAGUUGGCGCUCUGCAUGCCCUGCUCCCCGAGCCCACUGUGCUGCCCCGCAGACCCUGAGCCCGCAGUAAAGCCUAUUUUUUUAUUGGUGCUGA